rnacentral:rRNA from 1 species
CGAGUAGGCGGAUGAUUAAGUUAGAUGUGAAAGAUACGGGCUCAACCUGUGGAUGUCAUCUAAGACUGAUGAUCUAGAGAGCAGUAGAGGGGAGUGGAAUUUCCGGAGGAGCGGUGAAAUGCGUAGAUCUCGGAAGGAACACCGGUGGCGAAGGCGACUCUCUGGACUGUAACUGACGCUGAGGAGCGAAAGCGUGGGGAGCAAACAGGAUUAGAUACCCUGGUAGUCCACGCAGUAAACGAUGAAUACUAGACGUUAGUACUAUAAAGGUAUUAGUGUCGAAGCAAACGCGAUAAGUAUUCCGCCUGGGGAGUACGGCCGCAAGGUUAAA